rnacentral:rRNA from 1 species
UACGGAGGGUGCAAGCGUUAAUCGGAAUUACUGGGCGUAAAGCGUGCGCAGGCGGUUUUGUAAGUCUGUCGUGAAAUCCCCGGGCUCAACCUGGGAAUUGCAUUGGAGACUGCAAGGCUAGAAUCUGGCAGAGGGGGGUAGAAUUCCACGUGUAGCAGUGAAAUGCGUAGAGAUGUGGAGGAACACCGAUGGCGAAGGCAGCCCCCUGGGUCAAGAUUGACGCUCAUGCACGAAAGCGUGGGGAGCAAACAGG